CCCUUAGACGUUCUGGGCCGCACGCGCGCUACACUGACGAAGGCAACGAGCUUUCCUUUACCGAAAGGUACGGGUAAUCUUUUGAAACUUCGUCGUGCUGGGGAUAGAUCCUUGCAAUUUUUGAUCUUAAACGAGGAAUGCCUAGUAAGCGCAAGUCAUCAACUUGCGUUGAUUACGUCCCUGCCCUUUGUACACACCGCCCGUCGCUACUACCGAUUGAAUGGUUUAGUGAGGACUCCUGAUUGGCGCCGCCGCCCCGGCAACGGAGCAGCGGACUGCCGAAAAGUUGUUCAAACUUGAUCAUUUAGAGGAAGUAAAAGUCGUAACA
rnacentral:rRNA from 1 species